rnacentral:rRNA from 1 species
GACGAACGCUGGCGGCGUGCCUAAUACAUGCAAGUCGAACGCUGAAGCUUGGUGCUUGCACCGAGCGGAUGAGUUGCGAACGGGUGAGUAACGCGUAGGUAACCUGCCUGGUAGCGGGGGAUAACUAUUGGAAACGAUAGCUAAUACCGCAUAAGAGUAUAUGUUGCAUGACACUUGCUUAAAAGGUGCACUUGCAUCACUACCAGAUGGACCUCCGUUGUAUUAGCUAGUUGGUGAGGUAACGGCUCACCAAGGCAACGAUACAUAGACGACCUGAGAGGGUGGUCGGCCAAACUGGGAAUGAGACACGGCCCAGACUCCUACGGGAGGCAGCAGUAGGGGAUCUUCGGAAAUGGACGGAAGUCUGACCCAGAGAAGCCGCGUGAGUGAAGAAGGGUUUCGGAUCGUAAAGCUCUGUUGUAAGAGGAGAAAGAGUAUGAGAGUGGAAAGUUCACAAUGUGACGGUAUCUUACCAGAAAGGGACGGCUAACUACGUG